UGUUGACAUCUGUUUUGCGUCUCUGAGGGGCCGGGUUGGUUUUGCUGGGUUAGAGCUGAGCUUGUUGAGCUCCAGAGCUCUGCGAUGUGCACAACACAGACAGAGGCAGGAGAUCCGGGGCCGUGUGAGGAGGAGUACAUCACCAUCUUGUUAUGACAUCCGUGAGCGUUCAGUGCAGCCCAGCUUUCAUUCUGAAGCCCUCCCCCAGGAGGACAAAGAGAGACAUCACCACACUGCACUGCCGCCACUCCGGGGCUACAGGCUGACAGCUUUCCACCCAUGGCCCAUCUGUACCACCAGGAGAUGAGAUGGGGAUGAGGCACAGAGAGGGGGUGCCCACCACUGGUGCUGGAGGACCUGCUCAGCAUUCUGUCUUCAUACUUCCAUCACUUGCAUCUCUCAUCAAUUAUCAUCAUGGAGCUGGUCGAUAUUGAAAUGAAACUGCUGGGGGAUCGAUAACAGAAUUGCUGAGGAGCCUUCUGGAGGAAUGACAUUUUUCUCAUUUUGUGGGCACAGAGGAUGAAUCGGAGCAGGGGGAGGCGGAGAAGAGGAGAGGCAUAGACCCCACACAGCAGAUGUCAGCGCUGUCACAGCAGUUAGCAAAAUAACAGAGGCCUCCAGGGAUUCAGACUCCAAACUGGAAACUGCUGUCCUACAGAUUUACAGGUGCUCUCCGCAAUGGAAGGAAGGGAUUUGUUUUAAGCAGGCGGAUAUUUUCAUCCCUGGCAUCGCUUCGCUGACCUCCCUGGAGCUGGAGCGGCUCCGAGCUUGGCGUGGCACAAGCUGCUUUGAAGCCUCCUCUCCUCGCCCUCCUCCUGCCCGCGCAUCCUGCAUCCCCACCCUGGGCUCCUCCAGCAUAUGCUGCUUCCCAGCGAGAGGCUGGCACAGGGUAAUUAUUUGAAGCCUUCUCCUCCAGUGCUUAGUUUCCCGUUGUUCUGUCUUCAUUUUGCUUCCAAGGGUCUACUUCCUCCCUUUAUUGUUUUGUUUUGUUUUCUCUUCUCAAGAAAUCGGGUGUGUACGAUCAUUUGAUCUCAUCCCUAGGCUGCGUUUGAAGGAUAUUGUCUAUUUUCAGAAUCCUCGGUUGUGUUUAUGCUCCAGGCUCCAAACCUCUCUCCUUUUGAAAAGAGGGAGCAAAUCCUCCCUUUGCCUCCUGCCCCACAGAGCCACUGGCUCAGGGAUGCCUUGUUCUAAAUAACCGCCAAUCUCCCCAAAAUGUGGGUCAACCGGUUGCAGUGUUUCUCUUCAUCUUUCUUGCACCACUUUUCAGUGCUGGUGCAUGUGUCCCCACAGGGUGCAUUGCUACUGGGCACUAUGAGAUGCUCUGUGGACCACAGCAAAUAAAGCCAGGCUCAUGGUGGCCA
rnacentral:lncRNA from 1 species